rnacentral:lncRNA from 1 species
CAAGCCCUUCAUUCUGCAGCUGAGGCUCACUGCCCCCAGUGGGCAGUGGGUCCAGGGGGUUUCUGAGGACAGGGCAUGACCCAGCCCUGCUGCCCCCAAGAUGGCACCUGGCUUGGAGGGGUGAGGGGCCCUGUUAGUCUGACUUUGAAGAAGACCAGCCUUCCAGACUCGCUUGGUGCCCUGACAGGAGCCCUGGGCUCCCCCAGUGUUGCCUGGGUCUGACUUUGCCUCAGUGAAAACUGCCUCGAAUUCUUUCUUGCACCGAUGGGCAGAUGGGCAGUGUCGGAGGAUCGUGUCAUCUGUCCCGUGGCGCUGGACUCGGCUUUUCCCCUGUGAAAUGGAGAUGAGAGUUUCUCCGUCACUGGCGUGAAGUGAGGACUAAAUGAGAUAAGUGUAGGCUUGCACACAUCAGACACUUCAUAAAUGCUUGUGGAGUAGACGGUGGGACCCAGGGAGGGAGAGAGAGGUAUGUAACAAGUGUCGCAAGAGAGAAAACAGCCUGGCCUUUCAAGACCCUGCUCCCAAUACAAACGGGAACCUCUCCUGGCAGAGUCCCCUCUGCUGGCUUAAUCGCACAAAUCAAGUCAGCCGGAGGCAGCCCCCGGCCUGUGGAACUCACAGUAGAUGCAGCAGGCAGCAUAAAUGACAUGCAGAGCCCACAUCUGCAUUUAAUAGACCGAGAAUUUGCAUUGUAUAUAACAGCACGAGGGGUAAAGCAUGAAGGCAUAAAGGAACAGUUUUUCCCGGCGGCUUCCUUGAAGGGCCAGCUUAGACAGGGGUCUGGGGAGGAGAAACUCAGCGGGG